rnacentral:rRNA from 1 species
UACGUAGGGGGCAAGCGUUGUCCGGAUUUAUUGGGCGUAAAGAGCGUGUAGGCGGCCUUACAGGUCAGCUGUGAAAACUCGAGGCUCAACCUCGAGACGUCGGUUGAAACCGUAUGGCUAGAGUCCGGAAGAGGAGAGUGGAAUUCCCGGUGUAGCGGUGAAAUGCGCAGAUAUCGUGAGGAAGACCAGUGGCGAAGGCGGAUCUCUGGACAGUUCCUGACGCUGAGGCGCGAAGGCCAGGGGAGCAAACGGG